ACACACGGCUAACUGCUAUAUUUUUAUAGAGGAAAAUCCGCUCUAGCACUUGCUGCGACGCAAGUAGUGAUCAUGCUAGACCAAAUAAGUCUAGGCAAUCAUUUAGAUUGACGACUAGUGCAACAGAGACGAGCUUAUUAAUUUAAGAUGCAACGAUGUAAACUCCAUGAGUUAGAAACCCAAAUUUAGGUAGGGGAACCGAAUUAAGGGAAUUGAACUAAGAUUCGGAAACUAUUAACUUAGUUUAGAUAAAUAGUUAGCGCUAUAUUUUGUAUAGUACAGAAAGCGGUUUAUAGUG
rnacentral:RNase_P_RNA from 1 species